GCCUCGGUAGCUCAGUCAGGUAGAGCGGCAGCCUCGUAAGUUGCAGGUCGCGGGAUCAAAGCCCGCCCGGGGCU
rnacentral:tRNA from 1 species